AUAGUCACUUCCCCGUUCUCCUUUGAUUCGCUCAUUUGACUUUAUCUUUGUUCUUUCGACUUUCUUUCGAAUUCAUUCAUCUAAACGAGCGGUUUUCAUCCCUGUGCGUGUACUUCCUGCGACAUUUCUUAAGCACUUGCUGUAGUGCUCCGUUAGUCCACUGGGUUCAGGCAUUUGUAAGUGAGUAUGUCGUUUGGCAAUCGGACGCUGGUUGAUAAAGAUAUAGACAGUACUACAACUAGAUGUAGAUCGUGGUUUCAUCUUUUGAUAUGGUUGCUGGUUGUGGAGCAACUGAACCAUACACUACACUGACCUUGAGUACAAUAUCACGUCACUUUCGGUGUUUACGUGAUACCAUUAGUGGUCAAAUUCAAGUGACUCAAAGGAGCCCUGGAGAACAAGAGCUAAUACCUCGUCUACGCUAUGUUGAUCAGCAGCUUCGACAACAAAAGGCACUUCAGCAACUUGGUGUAAUGCGACGAGCUUGGAGGCCUCAGAGGGGAUUUCCUGAAACCUCGGUUUCAAUACUUCGAGCAUGGCUCUUUGAGCACUUCCUCCAUCCGUAAUUCCCCUGUUUCCAAUUUUCAUUUGGUUCCAGUUAUCCAAAGGAUUCAGAGAAAACUUGCUGGCUAGACAAAUUGGUUUAACAAGAAACCAGGGUGACAAAUUGGUUCAUUAAUGCAAGGGUGCAGCUUUGGAGCUGCAUCACUAAUCGUGGGCUUAAUUUCUUCUUACUAUUGGAUGACUUCUAUGUUACUAAUGCUGUCAAUCCUCUGAUCAAUCAAGCUUCAAUUUCACAUUAGAAUUCACUACAACUACACUUCAUCCCUGGUUCUAUCUUCCUUAUCUCAAUUUUAC